rnacentral:rRNA from 1 species
GAUGAACGCUAGCGGGAGGCUUAACACAUGCAAGUCGAGGGGCAGCACGAUGUAGCAAUACGUUGGUGGCGACCGGCGCACGGGUGAGUAACGCGUAUGCAACCUACCCUGUACUGGGGGAUAGCCCGGAGAAAUUCGGAUUAAUACCCCAUAAUGAUAUUGAGAGGCAUCUUUUGAUAUUUAAAGUUUCGACGGUACGGGAUGGGCAUGCGUAACAUUAGCUAGUUGGUAGGGUAACGGCCUACCAAGGCAACGAUGUUUAGGGGUCCUGAGAGGGUGAUCCCCCACACUGGUACUGAGACACGGACCAGACUCCUACGGGAGGCAGCAGUGAGGAAUAUUGGUCAAUGGGCGUAAGCCUGAACCAGCCAUCCCGCGUGCAGGGAGAAGGCGCUAUGCGUUGUAAACUGCUUUUCCAGGGGAAGAAAACUUCCAUCGAGAUGGGACUUGCCGGUACCCUGGGAAUAAGCAUCGGCUAACUCCGUGCCAGCCGCCGCAGUAACAC